GUGAUUCACAUCUCUGCGUGUUUCGGUCCCCCCGUAGCUGCACAGUGAAAUCCAUGCAGAUUUAGUGUACUUCCGAACACAGUCCCCCCCCACUCAUCUUCCAUGACUGAUCUCCUCGAUUGAAUCAUGUUUAUUUUAGUUUAUCUCAGCUUUAGGAAGUCGCAGCUUUGCCUACAGCGGAGUCCUAACAGGAUGAAAGGUGAAGCUCCCCACGUGGGAAGCCGCAGGAUGGGACGGGGCAGGGCUGGCUUCGGGUCCCAUGCACUGAACGCGUUCCCUCGGCAACGGCAAAGCCAGCGUGCAGUGGGAACGUUUGCACUGGAGCACGUCCCUCGGUGCAGGGCGGCACAGCUCCAAGUGCACGGGGCUCUUCUGUGCUGAGCAGAUCCCAGAACAGAACUGUGCGAUCCUUUGGGUUGGAGAAGACCUCUGAGAGCUCCGAGCACAACCCACGUCCCCAGCGCCGCAUCUCCACGGCUGUGGAGCACGUCCAGGGAAGGGUUCUGCGCCGCUCCCCGCGCAGCCCGUUCCCAACCGCCGUUCUUCAUCCUGACCAACAAACCGGAUCCGGGAGCGGCGGUUUCGGCUCCGUCCUUUGUCACACCCUCUGCUGGACACGGGAGGCGACGCAGGGGCUGCUCUGCGCCAACAGCCGCGGCUGAGCUGCUCCUCGUGCGAUCUCCCUUUGCAGUUUGGAACGUUUUUGUGCCUUUUCCUAACGCCGAAACAGUUCGGCAAUUAGCCCCGAUUUCAGAAAAUUCUGAAAAUCGCUGCAACACGCAGAAACCGGCCCCGUUUCCUUUCAUGUUGCUCCUUGAGAGCUAGCAAGCGUUCAGUGUGAAAUUUCCCCCCUUCUUAAGAGCCAUCCUCUGAGCACAAAGAUGAUGCGCACCUCCAGCCGUCCUUCACUUCGAGUGGCAUGCAGUCCUUAAAUGAAAAUCACAUUGCAGAGCUCAGUGAGAAGUGGUAUUGAAUUAUUGCAUUACAGGGCAGCCUGUAGCAUGAGUACUCCCUCUCCUUCAGGAAGAACAGAAGAACAAUGAAACGAGGGGGAAAAAAGGAAAGAUGCAAUAAGACAGACUUUCAUGUAGAUGUUUUUAAAGAAUCACAGAAUGCAUUCCUUCCAUCUUCUGCAAAGUCAAGGAGCAUUUCAAAAGCAUCCACACAGCCACACGUCCGGGAAUAUUGAGGCUCAUACCUCUCCUCCAUUGAUCUCUAAUUCUGCGAUUAUCCAAUGAAAAAUACCAAUAGCAAUAAAACAGAGAACGAGAUGUGCCACAGACAGUCUUCAAACGGAUGGCUUGGCGAGUGAGAGGAGGAAAUGAAGCACUUAAAUCUCUCAUCAGAUGUUCUGAAAAU